rnacentral:lncRNA from 1 species
GAAAGGAUCAUUUGGGAGUCAUUCCAGUGGAGAACAGUGACCUUGGACAAGUCAAUUCUCGGUUUGGGAUUCUGAGGGCAACGUUCUGGCUCUGGAUCCCGCCUGCAUUCCAGGAACUGGGUCAGCUGCUCUGGCCUGGAGGUCUGUCUGAAGGGCUCUGAGGAGCAUUUAGGGGCAGAAUGGCAGGGACAGAGUCAGCAAGAAGAGCAAACAUCCAUGUCCCCCAUUCGAUGCUUUCCUCUGAGAUAUUGCCCAUCUAACCAUCUCCAGCCUCCUCUCAUCUUUACUCUUCCUCUUGGAUGUCAUGAAUGGUCUGCUGUUCCCUCUCUCCUGCCUAUCUGCCUCCUCUGGAGUCCACACUCUGAGGCUAUGUGCCCAC